UACGUAGGGGGCAAGCGUUAUCCGGAUUUACUGGGUGUAAAGGGAGCGUAGACGGCGAAGAAAGUCUGAAGUGAAAGCCCGCGGCUCAACCGCGGAAUGGCUUUGGAAACUUUUUUGCUGGAGUACCGGAGAGGUAAGCGGAAUUCCUAGUGUAGCGGUGAAAUACGUAGAUAUUAGGAGGAACACCAGUGGCGAAGGCGGCUUACUGGACGGUAACUGACGUUGAGGCUCGAAAGCGUGGGGAGCAAACAGG
rnacentral:rRNA from 1 species